UUCCAUGGCAAGAGGCUCUUUGCCUACA
rnacentral:piRNA from 1 species